ensembl:snRNA U6 U6 spliceosomal RNA
GUGCUUGCUUUGGCAACACAUAUAAUUAAAAUUAGAACAAAAGCAGAGAAGAUUAGCAUGGUCCCUGGGUAAGGAUGACAUACAAAUUUGUAAAGUUUUUCAUGUCUUU